AAUCCUAUGAAUCCUGCCCAUGUUGAAAAGUUCUGAUUCCCUUUUCUCUUCCCCAGAAUUACCAGAGGAUACAUAAAAUUCCAGACAUUUUCAGCAAUUUUGUAGAACAAGAGCUGAAGCAAAAGCUGCUUGCAGCAUUGGCUUCUAGAGUGCCCCAACCUAGCUGCUUCACCUGGUUCAUGGAUGUUGGUGAGAGUACUGGAAUUCUCCAUGAAGUCAGAUCUCCAGCUUUCUGUUGUCCCAGUGCCCUGCUCUACCCAGCUAAAGUCAACGAGGAAUGAGGAGUCCCUAACCAAUGAAAAGGACAUUAUAGCAACAGACCAGUGGUGACCAAGAGAUGUGGUGGUAAUGAUUUUGGAAGUACAACAGCAGAAAUUAAGAAAGUGAGUGUGAUGAGGACAAUAGGGGAGUAAGUGAGAGCCCAUCCAGGGCAGAUGUGGGAAUGGACAUCACCGUUAG
rnacentral:lncRNA from 1 species